rnacentral:snoRNA from 20 species
UACCAAACCUUUUUGUCAGGGUGCUUCUCUGUCCUUUCUAGGACAACUUUAUCCACAGAAGUGUCUGUUACUGUUUUGGUAGAGUAAUACUGUUCGCUUAUCCUUAUUUCCUCGUUCUGAGGAAGCCUGAUGGAUAACUGAGAAGGAUAACCUUUGUUUUAAAGGUAUACCUCCUCUUUUUAGAACAGUGAGGAUCUUAUGAGUUGAGCUUUUGUUACCUUUUUCUUGGGUAUCCGUACAAUAUGUUCGUAGUAAAGAUCCUCACAACU